rnacentral:rRNA from 1 species
GAUGAACGCUGGCGGCGUGCCUAAUACAUGCAAGUCGAGCGAAGCGGGGACGGUUGAGUCACACGUGGAAAACCUCCUAUACGACUGGGAUAACUUCGGGAACCAGGAGCUAAACGGUAUACUUAUAGAUGGAUACGAGCUGCAUUAGCUAGUUGGUAAGGUAACGGCUUACCAAGGCAACGAUGCAUAGCAGCCCUGACAGGGGGAUCGGCCACACUGGAACUGAGACACGGUCCAGACUCCUACGGGAGGCAGCAGUAGGGAAUCUUCCGCAAUGGGUGAAAGCCUGACGGAGCAACGCCGCGUGAGUGAUGAAGGUCUUCGGAUCGUAAAACUCUGUUAUUAGGGAAGCGGUACCUAAUCAGAAAGCCACGGCUAACUACGUGCCAGCAGCCGCGGUAAUAC